rnacentral:rRNA from 1 species
CUACGGGAUGCUCCAGUGGGGAAUAUUGCACAAUGGGCGCAAGCCUGAUGCAGCCAUGCCGCGUGUAUGAAGAAGGCCUUCGGGUUGUAAAGUACUUUCAGCGGGGAGGAAGGGAGUAAAGUUAAUACCUUUGCUCAUUGACGUUACCCGCAGAAGAAGCACCGGCUAACUCCGUGCCAGCAGCCGCGGUAAUACGGAGGGUGCAAGCGUUAAUCGGAAUUACUGGGCGUAAAGCGCACGCAGGCGGUUUGUUAAGUCAGAUGUGAAAUCCCCGGGCUCAACCUGGGAACUGCAUCUGAUACUGGCAACUUGAGUCUCGUAGAGGGGGGUAGAAUGCCAGGUGUAGCGGUGAAAUGCGUAGAGAUCUGGAGGAAUACCGGUGGCGAAGGCGGCCCCCUGGACGAAGACUGACGCUCAGGUGCGAAAGCGUGGGGAGCAAACAGGAUUAGAUACCCAGUAGUC